AUGCCUCUCCUGGAAGCUGUCAUCUUCUCUUCCCUCUGGGCUUUUGGUGUUGGACAGUUGUUGGAGCAGCCUAAAAUGUUAGUUUCCAAGAUAAAAGAAAAGAGUUCCCGCAUAACUUGUAAGGUGUACAUCAGCGAUCAGUAUGACUUUAACAAUGAUUACAUACACUGGUACCGACAGAAGCCUAACCAGAAUAUAGAACAUCUAACAUAUGUUGUAUCUACAACAAAACCCACUCAGGAGAAAAUAGGUUCGAAGAUCAAACUUGAAGCAAGUAAAGACUCUUCCACUUCCACUUCCACUUUGCAAAUUAAUUUCUUAGAGAAAGAAGAUGAAGCCACGUACUACUAUGCCAGCUACACCUAUUCAUUUACAUAUUUAAUUCUUUUCAAUUGCUAUUCAAUUUUUCCCACAGAUAGAGACCUUGAUGCAGAUUUUUCACCCACGGCUACAGUUAUACUUCCUUCAAUGGCUGAAAUAAACCUCCAUAAGGCUGGAACAUAUAUUUGUCUUCUUGAGAAAUUUUUCCCUGAUGUUGUUAAGAUAAGUUGGAAAGAAAAGAAUGGUGCUGCAAUUCUGGAAUCACAGGAGGGAAAUACUACCAAGACUGGAGACACAUACAUGAAGUUCAGCUGGCUGACGGUGCCUGAAAUGUCUAUGGAUAAAGACCACAUUUGUGUUGUCGAACACGAGUUUACCACAAGGAUUAAUCAAAACAUUCUCUUUCCUUCAAUAAAGAAAGUCAUGGAAUAUUUUUUGAACACCUACACUGAGACAACCACCAUGCUAGGAGGUCUGAAUCCAAGAGGAAAAGAAGAUGGUCUUGAGUACAUCGCCCCUGCUGUGAUAACAGGUGAAAGCAGGUCACUGAAGCUGCAGCUCACCCACUCCUCUGCCUAUUACACCUACAUCCUCCUUCUCAAGAGCGUGGUCUACUUUGCCAUCAUCGCCUUCAGUCUGUUCAGGACACCAGGAGUUUGCUGCAAUGGGAAGAUUCCCUAA